UGUUGCAAAAGCGCGGGAAAAUCAUACACUCUUCUCAUAUCUCAAUGGCCAUAGUUGAUCAAUUGAAUCGAAUCGGUGGUUCCCAAUUUAGAGUUUUAGAACUCGCAGAAUCAGAGAAUGGGUUGGUCGUACCCUGAAAUAGCAAUUGAAGAUUUAAUGAAGUUGAUCAAAAACUACAUUGAUAUGUUGAUUCUGGCGUCUGGGUAUCAAUCAACCGGCCGCCUCGCGAAUUGGGACUCCAAUAACAUCAACAGAUCAUUCCAAUGGGCGCUCUUUCUAGAGAAUGUGAUGAAGGCACUACUCAGUUCAGCUGAUUAUGAAGAAUCUGUUGAAGAGCUUGAUGCUCUUUUACAUGAGUUAACAUUGGAUCCUAAUUUUCCUCAGGGUCUCGCUCAUUUGUCAUGUGCGAUGCUGGUUAGAGCGAAGGAUCUUGUGUUAGAGCAUCUGAUUCAUACCUUUCCCCUGAGGGAAUCUCAUUUAAAAGCUGUAGCUACAGCAUCAGUUGAGAUGGACAUUAGCAAUCUUAAGAGGAGGGAAAGCAAUGGCCUUGAUGUUUAUCUUGAAAAAUUAAUGCUGCUUCCCUCAAAUGGACCCAACUUAAAUGAGACCGCUAUCCAGAAACUUGGGAUAAGGCAAUCUGCAGUAUCAUGCUCAACUGUAGCGGAGGCUGUGUUGGAAAAUAUCUGGAAAACUCUAAGAACAAAAAUGCAUGAUGAGCUUGGGAGUACGUCAAACUCAGAGCUGCUGAAGCAGUCCACAAUAGGCGAGGAGCUGCCACUUGAAUCAGAUUACUGGAAUCACUGGAGAGCAAGAAGCCUGUCAUAUAUGCUUGAUAAGCGGACCAUAAGGAUGAUAUCUGGUGCCAGCCUGAUUUUUUCUGCACCAGAAGGCCAAUGGACUCAAGUAUUUGAACGAUUAAAUCUCCCAGCUCAGAAUGAUGAUAUCAGUGAAAUGAUAGAGCUCUUGUUGCUAGGAUGUGUAGCAAAUAAAUGGAGCGCUCUACUUGAGCAUCUGAUGUCUGUUUCAUAUGAGUUCCCUGCCAUAUCAAAGCUCUAUCACGAAGUGAUCAGCUUACCACCAGGAAAGUCUCAGAACUUUUUUCCGAAUGAGGGCCUGAUGAAUUCUAAGGUGAUCAUUCCUGGCAUUCUAUCCAACUAAUACUGAAUAUGAUGUUUAUGGAUGGAUUUUUUCACUUAGUGGAGUGCCUUCUGCUUGAGUCUAAUUUUUUUGUUAGAACCCCUUUGAAUGAUGAAAAAAUACUGUCAUACCAAUUCUAAUGUUCUAUACAUGUGGAUCAAUGUGCAUUGUGAUUGAAAAGUGAAACUGGGUUCACUCUUGUCACUGGACCUUAAACAUUCACUUGUUUGCUUUCUGUACCACUGUUUGUAAACUGGAAAAAUGUGACAGUUUCAUAUUCUCAGAUGCUGCACUAUGCACAUUGAGAUCAUAGAGUUAUUCAAAGUGAGUGGCUUCUGACACCCAAUAUGUUUUUUCAGCUCACUAGAAGCAAAAUUGUGUAAUGUUGUAUACCUUCUUGCUUGGUGUGCUAACCCAACGCUUAAGUGUUGUUUCCUGUAGAUCCUCAUUUGACUGUGUUACUGUCGGCAGCAAUCAUUGAAUGUGCUCCAAGGAAGAAUGGAUAUCUCCCAUUUUGUGUUUAUAUGUCCCUCAAGCUCCAUGGAGUAGUUAAAUUCCAGAAAAAAGUAUUGUUGACUACUUAGAAGUUUUAAUAAGCAGUAAAGUCAAUCAAUUGUGGCAACUCCCCCCAGUCCUUGCAGCAGUUGCAAUUCCUUCAUGGUCAAAGUUGUUCAGA